CCCUGGUUAGCUCAGUUGGUAGAGCGCUCUACAUUUGAUAGAGAGGUCCCGGGUUCAAUACCCGGACCAGGCG
rnacentral:tRNA from 1 species